rnacentral:rRNA from 1 species
UACGAAGGUGGCAAGCGUUGUUCGGAUUUACUGGGCGUAAAGGGAGCGUAGGUGGUUAGGUAAGCCCUCCGGGAAAUCUUCAGGCUUAACCUGAAAAGGUCGGGGGGGACUGCCUGGCUAGAGGACGGGAGAGGAGCGCGGAAUUCCCGGUGUAGCGGUGAAAUGCGCAGAUAUCAGGAGGAACACCGGUGGCGAAGGCGGGUCUCUGGGCCGAAACUGACGCUGAGGAGCGAAAGCGUGGGGAGCAAACAGG